GAGGGUAUAUCUCAGUGGAAGAGCACGUGCUUAGCAUGCAGGAGGUCCUGGGUUCAAUCCCCAGUACCUCCA
rnacentral:tRNA from 1 species